rnacentral:rRNA from 1 species
GUAGUCAUAUGCUUGUCUCAAAGCUUAAGCCAUGCAUGUCUAUGUACAAACCAAAUUAAGGUAAAACCGCAAAAUGCUCAUUAAACUAGUUAUAGUUAACUAGAACGAUAAAAUUUAAUUGGAUAACUGUGGUAAUUCUAGAGCUAAUACAUGCAAUCAUGUUUUGCUCAGUAAUGAGAAAAACGCUUUUAUUAGAUCAAAAUCAUUCGAAUAGUUUACUAUUCGUGUUUUUGAUGACUCUGAAUAACACCACAGAUCGCAUAGUCUUAGUACUGGCGAUAUAUCUUUCAAAUGCCUGACUUAUCAACUGUCGAUGGUAGAUUAUAUGUCUACCAUGGUUAUAACGGGUAACGGGGAAUCAGGGUUCGAUUCCGGAGAGGGAGCCUGAGAAACAGCUACCACAUCCAAGGAAGGACUCCCGGCACGGGGAGGUAGUGACAAAAAAUAACGAUACGGGACUCAUCCGAGGCCCCGUAAUCGGAAUGAAUACACUUUAAAUCCUUUCAUGAGGAUCCAUUGGAGGGCAAGCCUGGUGCCAGCAGCCGCGGUAAUUCCAGCUCCAAUAGCGUAUAUUAAAGUUGUUGCGGUUAAAAAGCUCGUAGUUGGUUCUGUGUGCCAUGCUGUUGGUUCACCGCCUGUCGGUGCAACUAACAUGUCAUGGAACGUCUUGUCGGUGGUAAUUAAAGACUUAUUUUUUAGAUUCAAGUUUUACUUGAACUAUAAAUAAGUUCCUUUAAUUACCGAUUAGUUCCUACCGCGGUGCUCUUCAUUGAGUGUCGAGGUCGGCCGACAAGUUUACUUUGAACAAAUUAGAGUGCUUAAAGCAGGCAAAAGAUCUGCCUUGAAUAGUGGUGCAUGGAAUAAUAGAAUAGGACCUUGGUUCUAUUUUGCUGGUUUUCUGAGUCCAAGGUAAUGAUCAAUAUGGACAGGCGGGGGCAUUCGUAUUGCGACGUUAGAGGUGAAAUUCUUGGAUCGUCGCAAGACGAACUAGAGCGAAAGCAUUUGCCAAGUAUGUCUUAAUUGAUCAAGAACGAAAGUUAGAGGUUCGAAGGCGAUCAGAUACCGCCCUAGUUCUAACCAUAAACGAUGCCAGCUAGCGAUCCGCCGAUGUUUUUCUCAUGACUCGACGGGCAGCUACCCCGGGAAACCAAAGCUUUUGGGUUCCGGGGGAAGUAUGGUUGCAAAGCUGAAACUUAAAGGAAUUGACGGAAGGGCACCACCAGGAGUGGAGCUUGCGGUUUAAUUUGACUCAACACGGGAAACUUUAUCAGGCCCAGACAUUGGAAGGAUUGACAGAUUGAUAGCUCUUUCUUGAUUCAAUGGGUAGUGGUGCGUUGGUGGAACGAUUUGUCUGGUUAAUUCCGAUAACGAACGAGACUCUAGCAUGCUAACUAGACGCUUGGUAUUUUUGCUACCAGCGUUAUUAAUCUUCUUAGAGGGACAGGCGGCUUUUAGCCGGACGAAAUUGAGCAAUAACAGGUCAGGGAUGCCCUGAGAUGUUCUGGGCCGCACGCGUGCUACACUGAAGGAAUCAGCGUGUGUCUCCCUAUCCGAAAGGACCGGGUAACCCGCUGAACCUCCUUCGUGCUAGGAAUUAGGGCUUGCAAUUAUUCCCUAUAAACGAGGAAUUCCCAGUAAACGUGAGUCAUAAGCUCGCGUUGAUUACGUCCCUGCCCUUUGUACACACCGCCCGUCGCUACUACCGAUUGAAUGAUUUAGUGAGGUCUUCAGACUGUUAAUAAACGUAUACUGCAUCCGCAGUAUCGAUUUUAGCGGAAAGAUGACCAAACUUGAUCAUUUAGAGGAAGUAAAAGUCGUAACAAGG